rnacentral:lncRNA from 10 species
AAUAAGAGGUGGGAGGCAGCCUCACAAGUUAGCAAUGCAGGGAAUGUUACAAGGAGUUAGCUUCAGUAUGAAAAAAACAUUUGUUUAGAGGCAUGGGAUAGAAUCACUGAAAUGCUGAGACAACUGUUCCUUCUCCUCCCUUGAGCUAAGACCCUGAAAGCUGAACCAGUACCAUCUCCUUGGAGCACCUUCUGAGGGUCCCUCUAGCCUACAAAGUGUAGUCAAGUGGAAUUUGUGCGCUUUCCUGAUUCAGGCCCAAUCCAGUCUUCCUAUGCCAGCCACAGAGCAGUCCCAUACUCCCUUCUGCUCAAUCCUACCCUGCCUCUUCUGCCUGUGAGUAUCCUAUUCACUUGGCUUGGAUUACCUUUCUUGCUCAUCUGCAGUAGACUUUACCAAUGCUCCCUGCUAUCUGGAUCUCUUCCACGUUCAGAAGCGUACAGGUAGCAGACCAGCAAGUUAACUACAUAAUCACAUCUCUCAGUAGAACGUGACUACCAUUCCUGCAAGAACCUUAAACAAACACUUAUCACCAUCAAGAUGCCUAUUCUGGCAGAAGCCCAUUCCUCCAUCUGCAUGGAUGAUCAGAACAGAAAACAAUCCGGGAAUAUGUUGCUGUUUAGAAUUGGUUGUUGUGAGGACAAACCGAAGUGAUUCAUAAAGCACUGUACAAAUUCAGAGUAUCACAGUGAUGACUGAACACUCUGGAUUCAGGAAAUCCUUCAGCUGGAAGUCUUGCUAGGACAGAGGUAUGUGCUGUAUUGCUCCCUGAGAGGAAACCUGAUGUAAAACAAACUCAGCCUCAAGGCUGAUGUGCCUCUGAAUCUCCCCUCAGAGCAGCUAACGGCUCUAGAACUAAUAAGGUCCCAGUGGACUUUUUCUUUAAAGAAGCUUUUAAUGUUACCAGGAACUGACAGCAACGCUGUCCACAUCAAUCCCACUCAGACCCCAGCCUCUGGAAGACAUGACCUUAGAAACUCUGCAGAACUUUUCUGUCACGUUCCACCUAUGUCAACAUUCAUGCCACCCACUGUCCCAUGUCGAGUUCUAAGAAGUUAAGAUCUGUACCUGUUAAAAUGGACUUCUAGAUUUCCAAAAAAGAGUUUCAUGGGACUGUGGGCAUUUCACAUAGUUAGGCUAUCCACGGGCCUGGCCUUUCCAGAAAUGGUCAACUUCAUGUAAUCUUCUUAUCCAUAAAGGCAAAGAUUAAUUAAAUGUGUAACUAAAUAUAAUUAAUUUUUAUAACUCUCUUACAUAUUUAUUUAAAUAAACCCAUAAAUCAGAAAUGACGUUUUUUUUCCUCAGACUGAUCUUCUUGAGACUUGAUUUUUUUACUUGGAAAAUAUAGUUACUGUAAAUACUAUAAACUCUGGUUAACCAGCAUGUUCAGAGAAUAUAAAGCUGUAGUAACCUUUAAAUGCAAAGGAAGAGGAGGAGGAGGAGGAGGAGGAGGAAGAAAAGGAAGAGGAGGAGGAAGAGUGAUAAUUAAUAUCAAAUACAUUAAUACAAGCAGGUUUUAUUAACUGUACUUUUAACAGAUGAUGAAACACAUUCAGAGAGACCCAACAGCAAGUAAAUUACAAUGCCAGAAUUAGAACCCAAAUUUGGCUCACUCAGAGGCGCUCAAUCUCUGCUUCAUUCAGGUCUCUGCUCAAACAUUACCUCCUUACAGAGGCCUUCCUUGACCACACGAUUGAAAAUGUCCCAGCUGUCAGCCUGGCUCCCUCCUUCCCUGCCAUCAACUUGCUGUCUUUUUCAGUCCCCUUACCUGGCUUUAGUUUCCUUCAUAGUACUUAGCUGUAUGUUUGUUUAAAAACAUGUCUCCUGUUUGAUAGAAUGCAAGUUAAGCAGGGAUUUUAAAUUAUUCACUGCUUUAUCUCUAAUGCCUAGAAUAGUGUCUGAGACAUAAUUGGUACUAAAUGAACAAACGAAUAAAAGACCCUAAAAUGCAUGCAUUUUUCAUUACGUCUCACUGAAAGGGAACAGUAAGAAAGCGGAUACAUAUAUACACUGCAUUAUGUCAUAAUUCUUUCAUGAUCUGGGUGGUAUGAUUAUAGAAUAAAGGUUCAAAUUGAUUGUGGAGAUCACUCAUUAAUAUUUCUACUAAGGGAAAAGAGUAGCUGUCUCCUAGAAACUGAAGGAACCCUUUACAACUGUAGCAGUGUGCUCUUUUUCACACUCACAAUCUCUCCUUCCUAUCAACUCUGACAUAAGAAUACACAGGACUCUUUUCACGACAAGUCCAAGAAUUUGGUUAGAUUAUUUUUGCCAUAUAAAGGACCAUUUAAUACCAAAACAAACCUCCCACAUCAAACAGUUAAUUCCACAACCACGAAACCUCUUCUGACUCACCAAGAAAAGCCACAUCAACACAGGCACAAGGGAUUCAUUUAUUACACCAAAAGAGUCUCUUCAGUACUUCUUAAGUAACUAUAAUUUUUGGUCAUUUAAAUAAUUUUGCAUUUAAUGUAGGCUCUACUUCCAGAUUUUUCUGAAACUGAUGGAAGACAUACCUAAUAAAAAUGCAUUUCAAGAAAAAGAAACAGAUUAUGAACAUCUCGUUUCAUCUGGGUUUAUGUGAGACUUAACAUUCACUAUUCUUACUAGACAUUCUCCCUGGGAAGGUAAAACUUUUUUAAAAAGUAAUGCCUCCAAGGUACAUCGUGAAGGCAGACAUCUGCUUUAUUCAGGCAAAGUAAGUGCCCAGUAAGUGUUGGCUCACCAGAUCAUGUAUGUCUUUCACAUAGCAAAUAUUCCGAGUUCUAAGUCACAAAUCGAAUACUCAACAAUUCCGCCUAGAAUAGAGGAGUAACCAUGUCUGUGGGAGGGGGAAGGGUUGGGAAGAGAUCUGUUCUUCUUCCUGAUACCCAUGAGCAGAAUACUGUCACACAGACCUAUUUUGUGUUUUUAUAAUUACCCAAAUUCUCUUCUUUUGUCAGAAUUCAUUCUCAGUAACAGCUUGAGCAAUGUAGCAAUCGUGCUCUGAAAUGACUUGUAAACCACAGACACAAAUAUUUGGGCCAAGAAUGUGGAAUCCAUUGCUGUCACAUUCCAUUAUUUCUGGUGGAGCAAUUCACUAACAUUUUGGAAUCUAGAUCAUAAAUUAUGCAGAGCCUCAGCAAAAGAGCUGAGGAAACAAACUGCUGUAAUAAAACUCCUGUUACUGGAGCCAUAAAAACAGAACAAAGGAAAGGCAAAGAAGAAAAAUAGUGGUUGGACUUUUCUGACAUGCCUUGUCCACCAUUGUUACUGGUUUCAAAAAUGAUAAUGUAACAAUCGGAAAACCAUCAGGCAAGCCAAAAAUGAUACAAUAGGCAUACUGUCAUUCAUAAACAUCACCACCACCAUGAGAGUCCCCAGAAUAAAAUUAGCUUUUUGAAGAAUGCCUGAAUGUUGACAUAAAUUAAAGUGCCUAAAUGUACAUACAACCAAGCCAUCUGUACAUUUUUCAUGACUCUCCAGGGGUGUGAAAUGUCCUUCAACAACAGCACUUGGAUAGUGGUCGCAUUUUCUGUUGGGACAUAUCAUAAAUGUCAGAGGGAGAAAGAGAUCUGUGUCACAUGUGAACUGAAGCAGGUCCCUUUCCCUCUCUGUGGAAACUGACUUAAUGGCAGAGCUGGGACUAAAACCCACAUCUCUUGACUCCCAAGAUAAGAAUGACUUUUAUUUUGCAGUAUGAUGCCUAGAGCAUGGUAGGGGCUCAAAAAUUACUUUGUGAACGGAAGAAUGACAGAAUGAAUGGAUAG